rnacentral:rRNA from 1 species
CCUACGGGCGGCAGCAGUGAGGAAUAUUGGUCAAUGGACGAGAGUCUGAACCAGCCAAGUAGCGUGAAGGAUGACUGCCGUAUGGGUUGUAAACUUCUUUUAUAUGGGAAUAAAAUGUUCCACGUGUGGGAUUUUGUAUGUACCAUAUGAAUAAGGAUCGGCUAACUCCGUGCCAGCAGCCGCGGUAAUACGGAGGCUCCGAGCGUUAUCCGGAUUGAUUGGGUUUAAAGGGAGCGUAGGUGGAUUGUUAAGUCAGUUGUGAAAGUUUGCGGCUCAACCGUAAAAUUGCAGUUGAAACUGGCAGUCUUGAGUACAGUAGAGGUGGGCGGAAUUCGUGGUGUAGCGGUGAAAUGCUUAGAUAUCACGAAGAACUCCGAUUGCGAAGGCAGCUCACUGGACUGCAACUGACACUGAGGCUCGAAAGUGUGGGUAUCAAACAGGAUUAGAUACCCCGGUAGUC